AUACAAUCUAGAAGUGUCGUUCAAAAUUUUUAUAACAGUGUGGUUUGUAGUCCACAUUCUCGGGUUUCUGGUUGUGGCUGUUCGCUGCAGUAGUCUUCACAGCAAGGCCAAGGCACCGCUACAAACACUGCUUCGUGUCCAGUCAGCAAGCAAGAACCCACAGCACGCUGCAGAGCUGAACCUGUUCAUUCAGACUAUCAUUCACGGUAAUGUGGGCAUCAGUGUUAUGGACCUGUUCGUCAUCACCAAGGGCACCAUCCUCACGAUUGUCAGCGUGGUGGUGUCAUAUUUUUUCGUCAUUAUCCAGCUGAACAUCUAAUCAACAUCCAGCUCGACAUCUGGUCAUCAUCCAGGUGAAUAUCCAGCCAUCGUACAGCUGAGCACCUGGCGCUAAUCUCACCCCACAACCUACAACCGGACUGUUUAGUGUCCUGCACACGUGCCUGAGACCUGGCUCAGCAGACGAGGCCAACAGACAGGCAUCAGAAGGCGUCAGACAGGCGUCAAGCAGGUGUCAGAGAGGCAUCAUACAGGUGUCAGA
rnacentral:misc_RNA from 1 species